UGCCUGAGCCACGUCCUUGGAAGCUUAUAAGCAAUGAUCUUGGAUGCUAUGAUUGGGCAAAUAUUAAAUAUUUUCACAUUUCUGAUAGGAAACCAAGGGCAUUAUUUCUAUUGCUCAUUGGUGCCAUUUUUGUGAUUACAUUA
rnacentral:snoRNA from 1 species